CAGCACGUAGGGAAUCUUCCACAAUGGGCGCAAGCCUGAUGGAGCGAACACCGCGUGAGUGAAGAAGGGUUUCGGCUCGUAAAGCUCUGUUGUUAAAGAAGAACACGUAUGAGACGUAACUGUUCAUACGUUGACGGUAUUUAACCAGAAAGUCACGGCUAACUACGUGCCAGCAGCCGCGGUAAUACGUAGGUGGCAAGCGUUAUCCGGAUUUAUUGGGCGUAAAGAGAGUGCAGGCGGUUUUCUAAGUCCUGAUGUGAAAGCCUUCGGCUUAACCGGAGAAGUGCAUCGGAAACUGGAUAACUUGAGUGCAGAAGAGGGUAGUGGAACUCCAUGUGUAGCGGUGGAAUGCGUAGAUAUAUGGAAGGAACACCAGUGGCGAAGGCGGCUACCUGGUCUGCAACUGACGCUGAGACUCGAAAGCAUGGGUAGCCGAACAGGAUUAGAUACCCCUGGUAG
rnacentral:rRNA from 1 species